GAAGAGAAAUACUGCCGCAUAUUUUAGCCCAUAACGAUACCGUCGGCAGUGAAACAUUGCAAUCUGAAACAUUACAUACGUACUUUAUUCUCCACGAAGGAUGGACGAAAAGUUCCAUCUUUUAUUACUGAGCAAGAAAGCAACUACGUUUUUCGCAACGAUGCACGAGAAUGCUGAAUAGAUGGCCCCCAGUUGGGGUGUGGUAGUGAACCGAGAUUUCUCAUUUCGGUAAGUGUCUGAAGGAGUACGAUGAACUGCAGUGCUGUCAAAACCAUCUCUAUUUGUAGCGUUUGUAGCAGUUGAAGCUCAGCAGGCCCUAAGUUUGGAACCAAGCGUCGCAAUCGGAGGGUUCACGAUGCAUUUCAGCAAAUGCAUGUGCGAGCAAAUAAGGACCACGGCGUUGCACAAUGCAUUGCCAAUCUUCUUGUGGAGAAGGAUACAUCUAUGCAACCACUCUCUGGAAAGCUGCUCGUGUUUUCCACCUUCCUCCACGUCCCUUCCUCGCCCGGUACCACCGAUUUUAUGGAUCUGGGUUACAUAUCUUCAUUGAGCCUUCGAUUUGAAUAUUGUUAAGCGUGGAAGCCUGUGCAGAAGUUGAAUUCCUCCCCUCUCUCCGACCCACUCAUUCGUAUCCAACACUCAGAUCGCGAACGCUAGGUGUGCCGUUGUAUCCCUCUCUUUCGAAACGCCACUCUGCUCAUUACGACGCUGGUCGCCAUUCUUAGCAUUUUGUCCUGCAGUUCUGUCUCAAGCACGUUGCUAGGGUUUUAGGCUUGAAGAAGAUGGUUCGGACUGAAAUUUAUAGUUCCUUGAAGUCAAAAACUUGAUAAAUUUGUUGGUUUCAAUCAGAGUUGCAUGUGUCGGCACGUACCUAGGACCGUGUUCGUUCUGGUGUAGAUUGGUGAUGCUUGUGAAGGGAUCACUGCAAACCUUUCGUUAAAUGUCUUUCAGCUCCCUGACGGGUUUUUGGUGUGGUGGAGGUGAGAUUUUUUAGGGGUUUCUUGGAGCUACGCUUCAGUCGACGCGAUUAUUAAGAUGGUUUGUCAGUAUGAAGUGUCGAGUUUUUGUAUGAUGUUUUGUUCGACAGGGUACAUUGGUUGACAUUGGUCACAUGAAUGCAUCAGUGGUGUGGUUUUGUUGCAUCUGGGUUCCGGUCAUCUAGGUGCCUGGAGGGUUUUCUGACGCCUCCAACCGACGAAACGAUGUAUGCACUCACCACUGUUUAUUGCUUGAGGAAGAUAACGUCUCUAUCAUGUUGUUACGAAGCACCUUUCUUUUGUGAAAAUGAUUGAAUAAUACCUUUGGAGGACUAGAGGCCUAGAUGCUAGAACCACUAUCAUCCUGCAAGAACUUUCGAAUUUCCUCUUUCAACAAAAGGCCACAAACAAUUUCACUGAGUGCUUUACUCAUGCCAUUGCAACGUAAUGCGAUAGCUUUCCUGUACAUACAUUACUUACUCGAUUUGAGUAAUCAUCAAAAAACAACUUUCAUCGUGAAUUGCUAUGCCCUUGCUCUUGGCACUAGCACAAGGGCAGUGCAAGUCUGUUACACCAACACAGAAGCUGAACUAAUUUAAAUCUUGUAAUAACUCAUACCAUUAUUAGAACAGAAUGUAGAAAUCUAAUUUUAGUGUACGUGAGAAAAAUAGUCCAUGGAUAGUCUGUGAGCAAAUCCCAACCUGCAUCACUCUAGGAGGGAUGAACUCACUUUGUACCACCAAAUGAUGCAUUCAACUUUCUCAUAUCAC